rnacentral:rRNA from 1 species
UACAGAGGUCCCAAGCGUUGUUCGGAUUCACUGGGCGUAAAGGGUGCGCAGGUGGGCUGGUAAGUUCGAUGUGAAAGCCCCGGGCUUAACCCGGGAAUGGCAUUGGAUACUACUGGUCUGGAGGAUCGGAGGGGGGACUGGAAUUCUUGGUGUAGCAGUGAAAUGCGUAGGUAUCAAGAGGAACACCAGUGGCGAAGGCGAGUCCCUGGACGAUACCUGACACUGAGGCACGAAAGCCAAGGGAGCAAACAGG